AUACAACAAUUAUGGCAUAACAGAAAUUUGACAAUUCGGGUUCACAUGCCCUUGUGGUUGCCCAUGUGACUUAACACAGUCUGGCACACGGCCGUAUGGUUGCCUAUGUGCCCCUUAUUCACCAAGUCAGUGAGUUAUAUAGUCUGGGCACACGCCCGUGUGCUGCCUGUGUACCUCACAUGGUUCGGCACACCCCCGUGUCCUCUACCCGUGCAUCCCUAAUACAUAAAUAAUGAGUCAUGCAGUUUGGACACACACCCAUGUGCCAGAUCAUGUGACCACUGCACCAUAAUAUCUCACACACAGCUUGCCACAUACCUGUGUAACUCGUCCAUGUGUCUUAAAUUUGAAGUCAGUCAGUUACACGAUCCAUUACACGGCUUUCCACACGACCUGCACACAUGCCCGUGUGGCAACCCGUGUGCCGUCGACUGUCAUGUUUUCGACAACAAAAACGCAGAAGAAAAGGGUUUCGAUGCCCCAACUGAAGAUAACGACAACCUUGAAGCAAGCCUGGGACUCUCAAAGCCUAGAAACUGAAAUUUCAACUACUCAAUUAAUAGAAAUUCAAAGAGAUACGUUAAAUCGCAACAACAGUCAACACCGAAAUCUUCAACGCCCAAACUCAGAAUGAACAAAACUUACUUACCAAAAGUUCAACAGCACACACUCGAGUCCUAGACAACAAGAGUAAGUGUUAGGCGCCUCUUAACCUUCCCCUAAGCUUUUGUAACCACAAGCAAACAAAACAAAACCAAUCAACAUCCUCACUUCGGGAUUUCAAGAAAUUUGCAAUUCAUACAUAACGACCAAAAUUACUACAAUUAAAUCUUACCUUUAAGCGCCAAAAUAACUAACGGUACAAAACAAUUCAUCGACUAACCCAAUAGAACGUCAUACAAAGACAAAUUCAAGAACGAUGCCAAAAAAAGAAUAAAAAGGAAAAUAAAAUAAAAAAUAAAAAAGAACAGUGAGGGAGAAAGAGUUAAUGUAAGAAAAUUCAUUUAAAAUAUUAAGAUUGGUAUUUACAAAGAAGUACAAAAAUAAUAUUCCUUAGUGCACAUGCAGAGAUUCAAAUAUAGAACCACUAACACAAAUAGAUGCUUAACCAUUGAACUAGUAGGCUCAUUCUUAAGACCUCAAUUCACAGAAUCUAACUUAAGUGAUACUUGCAAGUCUAAAAGUUCAAUUAAAGAAUAUGCAAAACUUCAAAAGAUGAGACUUGGACCUCAAACCUACAAUAAGCAACCAUAGCACAUUACCACAGAAACACCCACAUUUCCAC
rnacentral:lncRNA from 1 species